GAAUCUUUUUCAUGAAAUGCUUGUGCAAACUCAUCAAUUGUGAAGGAACAGAUAUUAAUUCUUGCAGCAUAAGUACAAAGAAAGUGGAAGACCUUGAACAGUUUCUUGGCGAGCUCUGGAGAGGAAUCCCAUGGUCGCUCAUAGAGAGGCAGCUUCAUUAUUACUGAAUUGGGAGGAAACUUUGGAAGUAAACCUUUGCAAAGUGAACAUCCACGAAGUCCAUUGCUUGCAAAGUGUGUACAGCAUGUCAAUGAG
rnacentral:misc_RNA from 1 species